CGGUGACAGUUUUACGCAUGAAUAUUUUGAGUAUGAACAGGGUCAAAAAGAAUAAUUGUUAAAGAUAGGUUAAAACAAUGUUGUGAGUUUUGACAUAAGAUUGGUGCUAAUGAUUUUAUACUGGAUACAAUCAAAAUGUUUCUCUGACGAAAUAGAAGAUUUUGACGAAAUAGAAGAUUUACCAGAUGUUUUGGUCGAUAAGGUGACCUGGAUCCCAGAACUACUGAAGGAAGCUCGUGCCGACACUACCACCAAAUGUUACAAUCGAGGUUUUAUUCGGUGGAGGAAAUGGGCCUUGAGUAAUUCUUUGGGAGAAAAGGACAUCUUUCCGGCCAAGCCAUCCAUUUUUGGUAUAUAUUUGUGUUCUAUCGUUCAAUCUUCAAAUUCAUUCAGUGCUGUAUCAAAAUCAUAUUAUAGUGUUAAAUGGAUGCAUGAAUUAUAUGGCUUGACAUCGCCUACAGUGAUUCAUCGUUAGUAAAAAACAUAUUAGAAGCUGCUAAACGAAAGCUUUCUAAGAAAAGUGCGAAGAAAGAACCAAUGACUCCUGUUAUGUUGCUUAGAAUGUUCAAUAGUCUUUAUCAGGAAAACAAUAUCAAGAAUCAGAGAAUUAUUUGCGCAUGUUUGUUAGCAUACGCAGGGUUUUUGAGAAGUGAAGAAUUACUUAAGAUUAGACGUUCCGAUAUAGUAUUCCACUCCACAUAUAUCAAUAUAUUUAUUGAAUCAAGCAAAACUGACGUUUAUAGAGAUGGAAAUUGGGUAACAAUUUCUUGCACAGGUGCUAUGUUGUGUCCUGUAGUAAAUUUACAGCGAUAUCUCUGAUUCUGACAUUUAUAUAUUUUGUGGAAUGUCAAAAUGCAAAAAUGGAUAUAAGUUAAGGGAUAUGAAUAAACCCAUUUCGUAUACAACUUUGAGAGAACUGUUUAUUGAAGCGUUUAAAUAUCAUGUUUCGGAUAUUUCUAAAUUCGGACUUCAUAGCCUGCGCUCCGGGGGCGCAACUGCAGCCGCGAAUAACGGCAUUAAGGACAGACUUUUUAAGAGACAUGGAAGGUGGCGUAGUGAAAACGCCAAAGAUGGUUAUAUUAAAGACUGUUUAUCUGAAAGACUUUCUGUUUCUCAGAAUUUGGGUUUAUAAACUUUGAAUUAGAUUUCAAGCACAUGGUAUUAUUUUGUAACUUAUAGUUUCCCGUUCUUUGAUUCAUCGUGCCCAAGUGCUCAUUACAUAUUAUACAAUAUAUGAA